rfam:Kocuria marina strain SO9-6 KM0047, whole genome shotgun sequence.
GGCUUUCUUCGCGGCGGAGCUCGACCGCCCACACAACAGGUAGUGGCCUACAUCGACGCCCACAAGGGCGAGUACGGGGUCGAGCCGAUCUGCAAGGUUCUGCAGGUCGCCCCG